AUGCACAUCUUUGGUGGGCACAAGAAGGAGAGCUCCUUCAGAAUGAAAGCACACCGGCUGCUACUAAUGCUGCUGCCGACGGAACUUCCAUUGACCCUGGCAGAGACCCGGGCCCUGCCGAACACUCUCAGGUGGUCGCUGCCUCCUUCAUCAGCACUGCAGCCCAAUGAACUAAGGAAAACCUUCCUGGAAUCUCUAUGGUCAAGAAACAUUAAGUAUCAACUGAAGCAGUUCAGAGAGGAACAUCGUCUUUGCAGCUCAUUUCUCUCAGUGGAAAACAAUUCCAUGUUUGAUAGCCAGACUACAUUUCCAGAAUUUGGUCAUCUAAAAAUAAACAAUCAAUGUUAAAAAAUAAAAGUAAAACUACAAGUCAGCAAACUUUGCCCUAACAUAUUCUAAGGAUAGGAUGAGGAUUAAGAGGCUCAUGAUUAGGUAUUAGAAAUGUAACACCUUUGUUACUCUGCUUAACAUUUCUUGAUGGUCCUGUUACUGCCAAUAUCUCGUGUAACCCACACUCAACAAUCUGAGUUUAGUCCUUACUUAGCCCUUUUCUCCAGAUAAGAAAACUGGGUCUCAGCGAGAAUAUGCCACCUGCUCCAGAUCACCUGGCCACUAAGUAGCAGAGCUGAUGGAUUCCAAGUCCAAACUCUUAACUUCCAACAUUAUGCCUG
rnacentral:lncRNA from 1 species